rnacentral:rRNA from 1 species
UACAGAGGUCUCAAGCGUUGUUCGGAUUCAUUGGGCGUAAAGGGUGUGUAGGUGGCGCCGUAAGUCGGGUGUGAAAUUUCGGAGCUUAACUCCGAAACUGCAUUCGAUACUGCGGUGCUUGAGGACUGGAGAGGAGACUGGAAUUCAUGGUGUAGCAGUGAAAUGCGUAGAGAUCAUUGAGGAAGACCAGUGGCGAAGGCGGGGUCUCUGGACAGUUCCUGACACUGAGACACGAAGGCCAGGGGAGCAAACGGG